UCAGUUUGUAAAAUAAGAUGCAUAUUAUUCAGCUUGAUUCAUUGCUCAGGAUUCUUGAAUAAGAUGGGGCGACCAAGAUGUGGCUCGGAGAAAGGGUGCAUAUGGGAUUACUUAUUACCCAUUGGGUCUGCAAAUAUGAGAGUGGCAAGGCAUGGGUAUUUAGCUCGAGUUGUGCAUGGGCUGCUCGAGCUGCGCGCCAAUGUGGAGGCCCCGCACCGCCGCCGAUGGGCUGAUGUUGUUAUACGUCGUGGCGGGGACGUCCGUGUGUGCGCUGCUUGUGCUGGGCGCUGAUGUGGUCGCCCCCGAUCGGAAGGGACGCCGCUGGAGCUGCCGCGGGAUAUGGUGGUGGUCCGCUGAUGGAGCUGGGAGCAGAUGCGGAGGCAAUGGGCCCGACUCUCUGUGUGCAAAUCAUGAUGACUUGGAGCACUGUAAUGGGAAGUUUUUAUUCAUCUUUACCUAUAUUUAUUGGAUUAGGUUCCAUUGGCAGGCCAGGGCGGAGGACGUUGUCAAUGGAAAACAUGGCUCCGCAUGAAGGUUCACUCGCCAAUAGUCUUCAAGAAGAUGCGAAGGUCAUGGUUCUGUGUUGAUGCCCCUUGAAAAAAAUAUCUUCUCAUUUUCUUGUUUGAAGGAACGCUAGGAGAAAUUGAGGAUGCGAAAAAUGUACGGAGGAAAGGGAGACUAGGAGAGGUGCACGGUGAGGCAUCGACGAAUCCUAAAAAGAGAAACUUUUGUCACGGUGUUCUCAUAUCCAAACUUGAAUCAAGUAUGCUUUUUGAAUGGCUUGCACUAAAGCAGAGUAUAAUUCUUAUACUUGUGUUUUAAAUUGACUA